CCCAGCUUUAGGUGCACCAGAAAAAGCGACGCGUCCGUCCGUCGGUUGGCGCCUCACCUCACCUCACCUCGCUCCAACCACCGUGCCUGCCGGCCACCUCGCCGAGGAGGACGACGAAGAGGAUCAAAAGGCCCACGCGACGGCGCAAAGCCCAACGCGGAGAGCGGGUGGAGGUCUGGAGGAGGGCGAGCAAGUUGGGGAUGGGCUCGAACAGCCCGGUGGUGCCGGACCCGACGGUGCUGGGGGUCCAGCUCCACCUGCCGCUGCGCCACCCGGCCGCGCUCUCCCGCCGCGUCGCCAUGGCGCGGGACGCCGCCGUCGUGCUCCGCCCCUGGCUCGUCGACCUCGUCCCGCUCCUCAUCGUCCUCCUCAUCGCCGCCCACGUCCUCGCCCUCGGGUACUGGAUCUACAGGCUCGCCACCGAUGGGUCCAGGCAGCCCGCGCGGAGCAAGAAGCACUAGGCACCCGCCACCGCUGCGCUGCGCUGCGCCGCUCCAUGGAUGUUUCCUGAUAAUGUUUUCCAUUUAGAUCUGGCAUCCUCUGCUUGUUGAUCUCCAAGGUUUCCAAUGUUAAGUGAUGGCGUGGAGAACUCGUGAAUGAACUAAACGGAACCAGUCUCUUCCAGUGAUUUGUUCAGAUGUUGGUUUCAAAAGUGACGUUAGCUGAAUACUCCUAUGUGAAAAGAGGACCUUAUGAUUAUAAAUAGUUGUUGAAAAGGUUUGUCAUUAGUUGAUCUUUCAUGUAAAGACGACCAGUAGCAGGUAGACAAGUGUUGUCAUUUCCAUCUGAUGUGUGUAUAUCUUUUGAGCAGCCUUUUUCUUUGCUCGACCCAGAUACAGGCGAACCUUCAGGACC